UACGGAGGGGGCGAGCGUUAUUCGGAAUUAUUGGGCGUAAAGGGCGCGUAGGCGGCCCUGUAAGUCAAAGGUGAAAUCCCUCGGCUCAACUGAGGAACUGCCUUUGAAACUGCAGGCUUGAGGCCGGGAGGGGGUAGCGGAAUUCCCAAUGUAGCGGUGAAAUGCGUAGAUAUUGGGAGGAACACCAGUGGCGAAGGCGGCUACCUGGACCGGUUCUGACGCUGAGGCGCGGAAAGCGUGGGUAGCAAACAGG
rnacentral:rRNA from 1 species